rnacentral:misc_RNA from 1 species
UUUCCGUAGGUGAACCUGCGGAAGGAUCAUUACCGAGUGAGGGUCUCACGGCCCGACCUCCAACCCCGUGUCUAACGACCUCUGUUGCUUUGGCGGGCCCGCCCCUGGCCGCCGGGGUUCGCCCUGGCCCGCGCCCGCCAGAGACCCCCCAAAAUCUGCUGAACCGUGUCGUUCUCAGUCAAAAACAAAUGAACAAAACUUUCAACAACGGAUCUCUUGGUUCUGGCAUCGAUGAAGAACGCAGC